rnacentral:rRNA from 1 species
UACGGAGGGGGGCUAGCGUUGUUCGGAAUUACUGGGCGUAAAGCGCGCGUAGGCGGCUUAGCAAGUUAGAGGUGAAAGCCCGGAGCUUAACUCCGGAAUUGCCUUUAAAAACUGCAAAGCUAGAAUCAUGGAGAGGUGAGUGGAAUUCCGAGUGUAGAGGUGAAAUUCGUAGAUAUUCGGAAGAACACCAGUGGCGAAGGCGACUCACUGGACAUGUAUUGACGCUGAGGUGCGAAAGCGUGGGGAGCAAACAGG